rnacentral:rRNA from 1 species
AGUGGGAAGAGCUCAUGUUUGAAAUCCAGCUCCCCGCGGGGCUGGAGUUGUAACCUAGAGGAGCGUGAUCGCCUGCCGGCAGGGCCGCGGCCAAGUCCGAUUUGAAAAGGGUACCGAGGAGGGUGGCAGUCCCGUUCGUGCCGCAGUCCCGCCGGCGAUGUGGCCCGCUUCCAACAAGUCGAGUUGCUUGGGAUUGCAGCUCAAAGUGGGUGGUAAACUCC